rnacentral:rRNA from 1 species
AGGAGAGUUUGAUCCUGGCUCAGGAUGAACGCUAGCGGCAGGCCUAAUACAUGCAAGUCGAACGGUAAAUGUCCCUUCGGGGACAUGAGAGUGGCGCACGGGUGCGUAACGCGUAUGCAACCCACCCGCUGUCGGGGGAUAGCCCGGAGAAAUUCGAAUUAAUACCCCAUGAGGAGCGAGGAAGGCAUCUUCCAUGUUUCAAAACUUCGGUGACGGCGGACGGGCAUGCGUGCCAUUAGAUGGUUGGCGGGGUAACGGCCCACCAAGUCGACGAUGGCUAGGGGAUCUGAGAGGACGGUCCCCCACACUGGUACUGAGACACGGACCAGACUCCUACGGGAGGCAGCAGUAAGGGAUAUUGGUCAAUGGGGGGAACCCUGAACCAGCCAUGCCGCGUGAGGGAAUAAGGCCCUACGGGUCGUAAACCUCUUUUGCCGGGGGAUAAGGAUAGGAACGUGUUCCUAUUUGAAGGUACCCGGAGAAUAAGCAUCGGCUAACUCCGUGCCAGCAGCCGCGGUAAUACGGAGGAUGCGAGCGUUAUCCGGAUUUAUUGGGUUUAAAGGGUGCGCAGGCGGGCGAUUAAGUCAGCGGUGAAAGGCUCGGGCUCAACCGGAGCAGUGCCGUUGAUACUGGUUGUCUUGAAUGCGGUCAAGGCCGGCGGAAUGUGGCGUGUAGCGGUGAAAUGCAUAGAUAUGCCACAGAACACCGAUAGCGAAGGCAGCCGGCGAGUCCUCAACUGACGCUAAAGCUCGAAAGUGCGGGUAUCGAACAGGAUUAGAUACCCUGGUAGUCCCCU